rnacentral:rRNA from 1 species
CAGCAGCCGCGGUAACACGAAGGGUGCAAGCGUUAAUCAGAAUUACUGGGCGUAAAGCGUGCGUAGGCGGUGAGUUAAGUCUGCUGUGAAAUCCCCGGGCUCAACCUGGGAAUGGCAGUGGAUACUGGCUCGCUAGAGUGUGUCAGAGGAUGGUGGAAUUCCCGGUGUAGCGGUGAAAUGCGUAGAGAUCGGGAGGAACAUCAGUGGCGAAGGCGGCCAUCUGGGACAACACUGACGCUGAGGCACGAAAGCGUGGGGAGCAAACAGGAUUAGAUACCCCUGUAGUCCCUGUCGCUUAUAC